rnacentral:rRNA from 1 species
AGAGCGGACGCUGGCGGCAGGCCUAACACAUGCAAGUCGAGCGCCCCGCAAGGGGAGCGGCAGACGGGAGAGUAACACGUGGGAACGUACCCUUUGGUUCGGAACAACACAGGGAAACUUGUGCUAAUACCGGAUAAGCCCUUACGGGGAAAGAUUUAUCGCCAAAGGAUCGGCCCGCGUCUGAUUAGCUUGUUGGUGAGGUAACGGCUCACCAAGGCUACGAUCAGUAGCUGGUCUGAGAGGAUGAUCAGCCUCACUGGGACUGAGACACGGCCCAGACUCCUACGGGAGGCAGCAGUGGGGAAUAUUGGACAAUGGGCGCAAGCCUGAUCCAGCCAUGCCGCGUGGAUGAUGAAGGCCCUAGGGUUGUAAAGUCCUUUCGACGGGGAAGAUAAUGACGGUACCCGUAGAAGAAGCCCGGCUAACUCGUGCCAGCAGCCGC